GGGGAGGGAGGGGGUGCUCCUAAGGUUGUAUAGCUCUGAGUAGAAUUUAUGAAAUGCUUCCAUUAUGUCAGGUAGGGCGUGUGAGAUGCCCUUGUCUGGGUGUUUAUCCUUCGCUAUGAAUGUUGUUUGCCUACUUUGUUUUAGCGCAGAGGCUAAGAGACGGCCGCACUUGCCACUGUAGUAAAAAUAGGAGUGUUUGGUGCGUAGUAGUGUGCGUUGGACCUGUGUGUUUAACAGUUGUUGUAGCUCUGUGCGUUUCGCGAGCAGUGCCUUAUAUGUCUGGAAUGAGUCUUUUUUUUUGUGGUGGAUUGCCUCUAGAGCCCGUAUAUCCUCUGUGAGGGAUUUAAUUUGACUCUCUUUUUUUUUUGUGUGGAUGCGAUGGCUAUGAGCUGUCCCCGUAACACACACUUAUGUGCUUCCCAUGUCACGGGGGGGAGGUCUGCGGUGAGGUGUUUUCUUUGAAGUACUGUUGAAUGGAGUCGUGUAUCUUUUUUAUCACUACUUUGUCAUUUAGUAGUAAGUCAUUUAAUUUCCAUUGGUAGGUUGUCAGGGUAUUUAUAUCGGCAGACAUUUUUGUGCUAUGAUAGAAAUUAAAAGUGUAUAUUCUGAGUCACUCUGAACAGACCAGACUCCAUUUUAUUAUUUUCAAGUUAACAAAGAGACACGAAAUUUCUAUCCUUUCUGUAAAACUAACCACUUUCCCAGAGCUAAAGGAAUGCAUAGUAUAUACAAACCAAGUGAUAAGGAGAACGGGGGUUGGAUAGACUGUCUAAAUGCUAAUGGAAUAGAUGCAUAUCUAAACACAGACAUUUGUGACAGAGGAGAUUAAAUAAUAAAAUUUUACUUUCCAUAUGUACAAGAUCCCAUUGUAAGUUACGGGUCAAAACUUAGUUAUAACUGUCAUAUUAGAAAUUAUAGCAGAAUUUGCCAGACACAUAGUCUGGACAAAACUUAAAGAAACUGUUUGAUCUGACAGAAAACUAAAUUAUGGCAACCAUAUAGAUAAGCCAAAAUGACAUCAAAAUAGCCACCAGGAAAAGUUAACUCUUUCCUGGCUAGGUAUGUUUAGUGGGACGAGACUGCCCUCUAUAGACCAAAUACUUAAAUUGUCAAAAGGAAGGUAAGCACACCUCUAGUGUUUCUAUUGGUCUAUUAACUAAUGACUUACAGAGAGUCUGGCCCUUUAAAAGUUAAGACAAAAAGAGAAGGAGGAAUUGGAAGUUUGGGGACUCCAACUCGGACAUGCAGAGAAACCCAGGACAACAUCUGAGACUAACACUCAACUCACAAACUCUUUGACACUUUCUAACCAACACUACUUUUCACUAUUACCCACGCACCUCCAUGCAGAGAGACAUCCAAACAAGUUCCUGAGACUACCAAUUUGAUGAAAAUAUCUACCCAACUGGUAAUUAUACUGGUUUCAUUUAAUUAAUUAAAUUAAUUAAAAUUUACUAAUAGCAUGAUAUAUGACUGGAU